rnacentral:rRNA from 1 species
ACGUUAUUCGGAUUCACUGGGCUUAAAGGGCGCGUAGGCGGGCCAUCAAGUCAGGGGUGAAAUCUUUCGGCUCAACCGGAAAAGUGCCUUUGAUACUGGUGGUCUCGAGGGAGGUAGGGGCAUGCGGAACUUCCGGUGGAGCGGUGAAAUGCGUAGAUAUCGGAAGGAACGCCGGUGGCGAAAGCGGCGUGCUGGACCUCUUCUGACGCUGAGGCGCGAAAGCUAG